UAGAGUUUGAUCCUGGCUCAGGAUGAACGCUAGCGACAGGCCUAACACAUGCAAGUCGAGGGGCAUCGGGGCGAGGAGCAAUCCUUGCCGCCGGCGACCGGCGCACGGGUGAGUAACGCGUAUGCGACCUGCCCGUUGCAGGGGGAUAAUCGGGAGAAAUCCCGUCUAAUACCGCGUAAUGCCGCGGGGCUGCAUGGCCCUGCGGCCAAAGGGAGCGAUUCCGGCAACGGAUGGGCAUGCGUGACAUUAGCUAGUUGGCGGGGCAACGGCCCACCAAGGCGACGAUGUCUAGGGGUUCUGAGAGGAAGGUCCCCCACACUGGUACUGAGACACGGACCAGACUCCUACGGGAGGCAGCAGUGAGGAAUAUUGGUCAAUGGGCGCGAGCCUGAACCAGCCAAGUCGCGUGAGGGAAGACGGUCCUAUGGAUUGUAAACCUCUUUUGUCGGGGAGCAAAAGACGCCACGUGUGGCGUUCCGAGAGUACCCGAAGAAAAAGCAUCGGCUAACUCCGUGCCAGCAGCCGCGGUAAUACGGAGGAUGCGAGCGUUAUCCGGAUUUAUUGGGUUUAAAGGGUGCGCAGGCGGAAGAUCAAGUCAGCGGUAAAAUUGAGAGGCUCAACCUCUUCGAGCCGUUGAAACUGGUUUUCUUGAGUGAGCGAGAAGUAUGCGGAAUGCGUGGUGUAGCGGUGAAAUGCAUAGAUAUCACGCAGAACUCCGAUUGCGAAGGCAGCAUACCGGCGCUCAACUGACGCUCAUGCACGAAAGUGUGGGUAUCGAACAGGAUUAGAUACCCUGGUAGUCCACACAGUAAACGAUGAAUACUAAUUGUUCGGGGAGAAUGAUCCCUGAGUGAUACAGCGAAAGCGUUAAGUAUUCCACCUGGGGGGUACGCCGGCAACGGUGAAACUCAAAGGAAUUGACGGGGGCCCGCACAAGCGGAGGAACAUGUGGUUUAAUUCGAUGAUACACGAGGAACCUUACCCGGGCUCAAACGACACAGGAAUACUUUUGAAAGGAGGUAGCUCUACGGAGUCUGUGUCGAGGUGCUGCAUGGUUGUCGUCAGCUCGUGCCGUGAGGUGUCGGCUUAAGUGCCAUAACGAGCGCAACCCCCAUCGCCAGUUACCAGCAAGUCAAGUUGGGGACUCUGGCGAGACUGCCGGCGCAAGCUGUGAGGAAGGCGGGGAUGACGUCAAAUCAGCACGGCCCUUACGUCCGGGGCGACACACGUGUUACAAUGGCAGGUACAGAGAGAAGCAAUGCGGCGACGCAAAGCGGAACUUGAAAGCCUGUCUCAGUUCGGAUUGGAGUCUGCAACUCGACUCCAUGAAGCUGGAUUCGCUAGUAAUCGCGCAUCAGCCAUGGCGCGGUGAAUACGUUCCCGGGCCUUGUACACACCGCCCGUCAAGCCAUGGAAGCCGGGAGUGCCUGAAGUGUGCAACCGCAAGGAGCGCCCUAAGGUAAAACUGGUGACUGGGGCUAAGUCGUAAUCAAGGUAACCGUA
rnacentral:rRNA from 1 species